GUUUCUCUCUCUCUCUCUCUCUCUCUCUCUCUCUCUCUCUCUCUCUCUCCCUCCCUCCCUCCCUCCCUCCCCCCCCAUUUACUUAUUUUAUGUAGGAGUGCUCUAUCUAUAUGUACACCUGCAUGCCAGAAGAGGGUAUCAGUUCCUAGAAUAGAUGGUUGUGAGCCACCAUGUGGUUGCUGGGAAUUGAACUCUCUGGAAGAGCAGACAGUGCUCUUAACCACUGAACCAUCUCUCCAACCCUAUUCCUUCCUUCUUCCCUCUCUCCUUCCCUCCCUUUCUCCCUCCCAUUCAUUUAAAAGAUAAAAAAAUUAAGUGUAAGAUUAAUAAAAAAUGAUCUCAUUGAAGUCAGACAAGACAAACCAACAGAAGUUAAAGAGCCCAGAGAAGGCAGAGGAUCAGAGACCCACUCAUUUGCACACUCAGGAAUCCCAUUCCUUCCACCAAAGUGGAAGCCAUCAUAUAUAUGCAGAGGAACUGGUGCAGACUGGUGCAGGCCCUGCGCUUGCUGCCU
rnacentral:lncRNA from 1 species